rnacentral:rRNA from 1 species
UACGGGGGGGGGCAAGCGUUGUUCGGAAUUACUGGGCGUAAAGGGUUCGUAGGUGGCCAACUAAGUCAUACGUGAAAUCCCUCAGCUUAACUGGGGAACUGCGUCUGAUACUGGUUGGCUUGAGUGCAGGAGAGGAACGCGGAAUUCCAGGUGGAGCGGUGAAAUGCGUAGAUAUCGUUUGGAACGCCAAUGGUGAAAACAGGUCGCUGGGGAUGAGCUGACGCUGAGACACGAAAGCCAGGGGAGCAAACGGG